GUAGGGUGCGAGCGUUAAUCGGAAUUACUGGGCGUAAAGUGUGCGCAGGUGGCCGCGCGAGUCGAGUGUGAAAUCCCCGGGCUUAACUUGGGAAUUGCGCUCGAAACUACGUGGCUAGAGUGUGGCAGAGGGAGGUGGAAUUCCACGUGUAGCGGUGAAAUGCGUAGAGAUGUGGAGGAACACCAAUGGCGAAGGCAGCCUCCUGGGCCAACACUGACACUCAUGCACGAAAGCGUGGGGAGCAAACAGGAUUAGAUACCCUGGUAGUCCACGCCCUAAACGAUGAUGACUAGUUGUUGGGGGAGUUAAAUCCCUUAGUAACGCAGCUAACGCGCGAAGUCAUCCGCCUGGGGAGUACGGUCGCAAGAUUA
rnacentral:rRNA from 1 species